rnacentral:rRNA from 1 species
AGAGUUUGAUCCUGGCUCAGGACGAACGCUGGCGGCGGGCUUAACACAUGCAAGUCGAAGGAGAAGGCGAGUGCUUGCACUUGCCGGAGACUGGCGCACGGGUGAGUAACGCGUAGACAACCUGCCUAUAACUGGGGGAUAACAUACCGAAAGGUGUGCUAAUACCGCAUAUUGCCAACGCCUCGCAUGAGGGGUUGGUGAAAGACUUCGGUUGGUUAUAGAUGGGUCUGCGUGCCAUUAGUUAGUUGGUGGGGUAAAAGCCUACCAAGGCGAUGAUGGCUAGGGGGUCUGAGAGGAUGAUCCCCCACACUGGGACCGAGACACGGCCCAGACUCCUACGGGAGGCAGCAGUGAGGAAUCUUGCGCAAUGGGGGUAACCCUGACGCAGCCACGCCGCGUGCCGGAAGACGGCCCUAUGGGUUGUAAACGGCUUUUACAUGGGAAGAAAGUGCAGGUUUCGACCAGCAUUGACGGUACCAUUUGAAUAAGCACCGGCUAACUCCGUGCCAGCAGCCGCGGUAAUACGGAGGGUGCAAGCGUUGUCCGGAAUCAUUGGGUGUAAAGGGUGCGUAGGCUGGCGCCUAAGUCUGAGGUGAAAUCUUGCCGCUUAACGGUAAAAUUGCCUUGGAUACUGGGUGUCUUGAAUCUGACAGAGGUCGGUGGAAUUCGUGGUGUAGCGGUGAAAUGCAUAGAUAUCACGAAGAACAUCAGUGGCGAAGGCGGCCGGCUGGGUCAGUAUUGACGCUGAGGCACGAGAGCGUGGGGAGCGAACAGGAUUAGAUACCCUGGUUAGUCCACGCUGUGAACGAUGUAUGCUAGUGUUGGGCCUUCGGGUUUGGGGGUACCGUGACGCAGUAACGCAAGUAGCAUACCCCCCUGGGGAGUACGUUCGCAAGAAUGAAACUCAAAGGAAUUGACGGGGGCCCGCACAAGCGGUGGAGCAUGUGGCUUAAUUCGAUGCUAAGAGAAGAACCUUACCCGGGCUAAAUCUCCGGCGACCGGUCCCGAAACGGACCUUCCCUUCGGGGCGCCGGCGAAGGUGCUGCAUGGCUGUCGUCAGCUCGUGCCGUGAGGUGUUGCCUUAAGUGGCGCAACGAGCGCAACCCCUGUGGUUAGUUACCAGCACGUAAUGGUGGGGACUCUAGCCAGACUGCCUACGCAAGUAGUGAGGAAGGUGGGGACGACGUCAAGUCAUCAUGGCCCUUAUGUCCGGGGCUGCACACGUGCUACAAUGGAUGGUACAGAGGGAAGCCACCCCGCGAGGGGGUGCAGAUCUCGAAAGCCAUUCCCAGUUCGGAUUGGAGUCUGCAACUCGACUCCAUGAAGGUGGAAUCGCUAGUAAUCGCGUAUCAGCAAUGACGCGGUGAAUACGUUCCCGGGCCUUGUACACACCGCCCGUCAAGCGAUGGAAGU